rnacentral:rRNA from 1 species
UACAGAGGUCUCAAGCGUUGUUCGGAUUCAUUGGGCGUAAAGGGUGCGUAGGCGGCGCGGUAAGUCGGGUGUGAAAUCUCGGAGCUUAACUCCGAAACUGCAUUCGAUACUGCCGUGCUUGAGGACUGGAGAGGAGAGUGGAAUUCCUGGUGAUAGCGGUGAAAUGCGCAGAUAUCAGGAAGAACACCUAUGGCGAAGGCAGCUCUCUGGGACGGUACUGGACGCUGAGACGCGAAAGCCGUGGGGAGCGAACAGG